rnacentral:rRNA from 1 species
CUACGGGUGGCUCCAGCCGAGAAUAUUCGUCAAUGGGCGAAAGCCUGAACGAGCGACACCGCGUGCAGGAUGAAGGUAUUCGUAUUGUAAACUGCUUUUCUCUGGGAAGAAUUUCGAUGACGGUACCAGAGGAAUAAGAGGUUACUAACUCUGUGCCAGCAGUAGCGGUAAUACAGAGACCUCAAGCGUUAUCCGGAUUUAUUGGGCGUAGAGCGCGCGCAGGUGGACCUGUUAGUCAGAUGUCAAAUUACUUCGCUCAACGGAGUAGCUGCAUUUGAAACGGCAGGUCUUGAGAGAGUGAGAGAUCACUGGAACGCAUGGUGUAGUAGUGAAAUGCGUUGAUAUCAUGCGGAACACCCAAGGCGAAGGCAGGUGGUUGGCACUCUUCUGACACUGAGGCGCGAGAGCGUGGGGAGCGAAUAGGAUUAGAUACCCUCGUAGUC